UAGUUUUUCAGGCAUAAUUUUUAAAGAAAAUUAAAUAAUUAUAUAGAGAUACAAUUUUAAUAUGAACUUAGUUAUGCAGUACCAAUGCUCUGUAAGUCUAUGGCUGCCAUACAUGUAUUCAAUUUAUUGUUCAUAUCAGAAUCAUAUACAUAUAUUCAAUUAAGUGCAAUUAAUUGUCUUGAUUUUUCUUUCAUAUAUACCGGUAUUUACUCUAAUCAUGACAUUUAACUGACCAAGUUCAUUAUAUUUUUCAAGUUUUGUUACAAAGCAUUAUUCAUGCAAUAUAUUUAUAUUUCAUUAUCAAAACUACAUGUAUAUUGAAAUUAAACCAAACUUAAUUUGAUAUGAAAUGUUAAUCUUCACAUCUUUACGUAAUCUUUUUCAAAUAUAAUUUGUAUAGAUUUGUUUACAAUCAAAGUUAUUUUUUUAUAUUCACCUGGAACAUAUAAUGAUAUUACAUAACUUUUGUCAUCAACAGAUGACUUGUCUUCCAGUUUCAUUUUUCAUAGAUUUUUUACAACUGAAUUGUAUUUUUAUGUAAGCAGAAUGGUUUGGCAGGAUAUAUGUUGUUUGGUGUAUUAUAUACCUACCCAAAUGCAGUAAUAUAUUGUAAAUAUGUCUGUUUGUGUAUCAAAUACUCAAUCACUGUUUACUCUCACAUUAAACAGAACUAGAGUACAAAGAUAACUUCAUGUUAUCUGUUUUGAGGAUUCUAAUUCGAAAAAUAUAUACAUGUAUACACAAUUUACAUUACAUUAUGCAUUUAUGUAAAAUAUGCACUGAUGGUUGUGAUAAGAUUGGAUAUUUUCUUAUAUUGCUUGAUGUAUUCUUUAGUAUAUAUUUUACGCUAAAUUCAACUUUACAAAUAAUCAGAUGAUUCUACUUAUUAAAUUUGAUUCUUUACAUG
rnacentral:misc_RNA from 1 species